UACGUAGGGGGCAAGCGUUGUCCGGAUUAUUGGGCGUAAAGAGCGUGUAGGCGGCCACACAGGUCAGCUGUGAAAACUCGAGGCUCAACCUCGAGACGUCGGUUGAAACCGUAUGGCUAGAGUCCGGAAGAGGAGAGUGGAAUUCCCGGUGUAGCGGUGAAAUGCGCAGAUAUCGGGAAGAACACCCGUGGCGAAGGCGGCUCUCUGGGACGGUACUGACGCUGAGACGCGAAAGCGUGGGGAGCGAACGAGG
rnacentral:rRNA from 1 species